AGCAGCCGCGGUAAUUCCAGCUCCAAUAGCGUAUAUUAAAGUUGUUGCAGUUAAAAAGCUCGUAGUUGAAUUUCGGGGUUAGUAGGUUGGUCAUGCCUCUGGUAUGUACUGGUCUCACUGAUUCCUCCUUCCUGAUGAACCUUAAUGCCAUUAAUUUGGUGUUUUGGGGAAUUUGGACUGUUACUUUGAAAAAUUAGAGUGUUUAAAGCAAGCUAACGCUUGAAUACAUUAGCAUGGAAUAAUGAAAUAGGACGUUCGAUCCUAUUUUGUUGGUUUCUAGGAUCGACGUAAUGAUUAAUAGGGAUAGUUGGGGGCAUUAGUAUUCAAUUGUCAGAGGUGAAAUUCUUGGAUUUAUUGAAGACUAACUACUGCGAAAGCAUUUGCCAAGGAUGUUUUCAUUAAUCAAGAACGAAAGUUAGGGGAUCGAAGACGAUCAGAUACCGUCGUAGUCUUAACCAUAAACUAUGCCGACUAGGGAUCGGAUGAUGUUAAUUUUUAAUGACUCAUUCGGCGCCUUACG
rnacentral:misc_RNA from 1 species